CCUACUCGCUGCUCCGCCCAGAGGCGGGCGCGCCGCGGGGGUCCCUCCAAGAUGGCGACGCAGAGGAGGAGCCUGCUGCAGAGUGAGCAGCAGCCGAGUUGGACAGACGACCUGCCGCUCUGCCACCUCUCUGGGGUCGGGUCGGCCGCCAACCGUGUCUACUCUGCUGAUGGCAAGGGCACCGAGGCCCACCCUCCCGAGGACAGCUGGCUCAAGUUCAGGAGCGACAACAACUGCUUCCUGUAUGGGGUCUUCAACGGCUACGAUGGCAACCGGGUGACCAGCUUUGUUGCCCAGCGGCUGUCCGCAGAACUCCUGCUUGGCCAGCUCAACGCGGAACACACCGAGACUGACGUGCGGCGUGUGCUGCUUCAGGCCUUCGAUGUGGUGGAGAGGAGCUUCCUGGAGUCCAUUGACGACGCCCUGGCUGAGAAGGCCAGCCUCCAGUCCCAGCUGCCAGAGGGUGUCCCUCAGCACCAGCUGCCUCCUCAGUAUCAGAAGAUCCUUGAGAGGCUCAAGGUGCUGGAGAGGGAGACCUCGGGCGGGGCCAUGGCCGUGGUGGCUGUCCUUCUCAACACCAAACUCUACGUCGCCAAUGUAGGCACGAACCGGGCACUUCUGUGCAAAUCUACAGUGGACGGGUUGCAGGUGACCCAGCUAAACGUGGACCACACGACAGAGAACGAGGAUGAGCUCUUCCGCCUCUCACAGCUGGGUUUGGACGCAGGAAAGAUCAAGCAAGUGGGGAUCAUCUGUGGGCAGGAGAGUACCAGGCGCAUCGGGGAUUAUAAGGUCAAGUACGGCUACACUGACAUUGACCUGCUCAGUGCUGCCAAAUCCAAACCAAUCAUCGCAGAGCCAGAAGUCCAUGGUGCACAGCCUCUGGACGGGGUGACCGGCUUCCUGGUAUUGAUGUCUGAGGGGCUGUACAAGGCCCUGGAGGCCGCCCAUGGGCCUGGGCAGGCUAACCAGGAGAUUGCUGCCAUGAUUGACACUGAGUUUGCCAAGCAGACUUCGUUGGAUGCGGUGGCCCAGGCUGUGGUGGACCGGGUGAAGCGCAUCCAUGGUGACACCUUUGCCAGUGGUGGGGAGCGCGCCAAGUUCUGCCCACGGCAUGAGGACAUGACCCUGCUGGUGAGGAACUUCGGCUACCCGCUGGGUGAAAUGAGCCAACCCACACCAGCCCAGGCACCAGCUGCUGGGGGCCGCGUGUACCCCGUGUCCGUGCCCUACUCCAGUGCCCAGAGCACCAGCAAGACUAGCGUGACCCUCUCCCUUGUCAUGCCCUCCCAGGGCCAGAUGGUCAAUGGGGCCCACAGCGCUUCUACCCUGGACGAAGCCACCCCCACCCUCACCAACCAGAGCCCCACCCUGACGCUGCAGUCCACCAACACGCACACCCAGAGCAGCAGCUCCAGCUCCGACGGCGGCCUCUUCCGCUCUCGGCCUGCGCACUCGCUCCCGCCCGGCGAGGACGGCCGCGUGGAGCCCUACGUGGACUUCGCGGAGUUCUAUCGUCUCUGGAGUGUGGACCACGGUGAGCAGAGCGUGCUGGCUGCGCCCUAGCCUGACCGGCGAGCACACUGUGGAGCUGGUGGGGCAGGCGCAGCCCCGGUGCAGCCUCCUGACUCCUGUGGAGGAGCGGGGCGCCGUCCUCAGCCUGCAAGUCGGCCCCUGGCUGUGGAGGUGCAAGUGCCGGCUGCAGGGCCUGCCCACGCCUUGUCACCGCCAGGAGGCUGGAGGCCACUCCUCACUGCAGCCUCGGCCAGCCAGGACUGUCACUAUUCCUCGGAGCGAGGACCCCAGGAUGGAAGCUGCAGCUGGCCUGCUGGCUGCUGAGGUUCCUUCGGCCCAUGCAGCAGCGUGGGAAGAGGCUGUCCUCUGGACCCUGAGGGCCACCACCUCCUGUACAAUAGCCUGUGGCCACUGCUAAUGCCCCUUCACUCUGGGCAGUGGUUCCCCGCUCCAGCCCCUCAGCCUCAUGCUCCCCAGCCAGGGACAGGUCAGGUGGAAAGGGCCAGAGAGAAGCCCCAGAGCCGCUGAGGGAAGUGGACUGGGCAUCUGGGCUUUCCCGAGAGGUGCAGGGGAGGAGAGGCUGGGCCCUGCGGAGCUGUGAGGAGGCAGGGAGGCCCAAGUCCGGCUGAGCCGGUCCUGCCCUGCAUCCUCCCUGCUGGUGCUAGGGAGGCCACAUUUGGAGUGGCCUUACCCUGGUGACAAGUGUGGGGUAGCUCUGGUUAACAAACCGGGCAUGGGUCAGGCCAAGGGCUUGGCCAACAGUGAAAAGAGCAAACAUUGGUUCCAAGAGGGAGGGGUUCUCCAAGGCCUCGCUGCCCUGGGGUUGACGUCUACAGGGUGUGCACCAUGUUGAUGAGCCUGAGGAGGAAGGACUGGCCGGCCAGGCUCUGGACUGCUGCAUGUCCACGGGUCUGCCUCCUCUGGGAGGGACACCCCCAGGCCUCCAGGCAGGGUCCCAUUCCCUUUCCCAGAGGGAGCGGAGAGGCUUGCUCCUGGCCCGUGUCACACCUGCAGUGGCAGAGCUGCUCAGACCUGUGCUGCAACCCAUGACGUCCCGGCCGCAGCUGGCCAGGGACCGCCCCCACCGGCCAGCCCCCAGUGUCCUUGCUCUCUGCAGUGCUGGAGGCCGGCUCCAGAGUCCCCUGCUCACUCCGUGAUCCCGCAGUCCACUUCUGCAGCAGAGCUGAGCCCCGUGCUAUGCCAGGGACAGGCCACUGCUUGAGCCGAGGAGAAAGGGGACCUCAGCAGCCAGCCCACUGCCCGCCACUGUGCAGCCUUCCAUCUGUCCUCGGGAGCAGGUUUAAACAGUCAUGGGGCUCUGGAACAAAGGGACUUCUCCCAGAAUGUCUCCAAUGCUGUUUGGUCUCUAGAAAUAGAGUCCUGGUUUUAAUGACGUGAAGUGAAGUCGUACACGGUGGCAUCACACGGUGCAUUGUUAGUGCUGGCACUUCUGUCCCACCCAACUCUCACCCUGGGAGGUGGCUGCCUCCUCAUGUCCUGCGCGACGUGCUGCAAAGCAAGCUAGCCAGGCUGGUGCGUGGCCAGGCUGGGUUGAGCCAGCUCCCGGCUGUAUGCAGGCCCACCCGGCCCAGAGGGCAAGGUGCCCGUGCCGGGCCGUCAGGCUGCACCGCUGCAGGGCCGUGCCAGGUGCUGCAGGGCUGCUGUGCUGGCCUCACUUCCUGAGCCUGUGGGUGGUGCUGAGACUGCCCAGGGCCCUCUCUGGCUCGGUGGCUUUCUGGGGCUUUGUUCGGGUGAAGGCUGUUCUGUGAACACCAGGCCCUGGCCCGCCGCUCUGCCCUCUGGGCCUCAACUCGCCCCUCUAGAAGAGCAUGUGUGGCAGACCGGAAUGCUGCUCUGAAGAGCAGGCGCUGGUGCGGUCAGAGGGUCCUGCACACCGCCUUGCUGCUGGGUCUGUCGGGUCCGUCCCCUCCUCAGCAUCCCAGCCUUGCCCUGGCGUCUGGAUGGCGGCUGUGGCCCUGAGCACCCCCCAGGGAGGUGGCGAGGGCACCGUUCUCUGGUGAGUAACAGGCGCCGAAGAUUGGGGCACGGCCCUGGCCACAGAUGGCCACAUCCAACCCAAGGCCCUGGGCACACCCUGUUGUCCAUGCCUCUGUUCCUUGCCUUUGCGUCUUGCAGCUCCGUGUGAGUCCUCCUGGGGCAAACGGAGGGCACACUGGAGGCCCGGGGUCCCCUUGGCUGAUGACGAGGUGAGAGCGUGGGAGUCUUUGGGGGCUUAGGGCAGAGCCAAGGGUCAGCACUAGGAAAACGUCCUGCCAGCCCGACAGCUGUGCCAUGGCCAGGUCACUGCUGAGCCUCUUCUGGUGUCUGACAGGGGUGGUAGGCAGCUGGCCCUGGUCUAGGGUCUUCUUGCCACUGACCCCCUCCCACAGCUUUAGGCGGAGAGCACUCAUUCCCUGAGGUGGGAGAGACCAGAGAAGUCCACCAGCCAGAACCUGUCCCUGGAAGGCAGCCUGGGCCUGACAGAGGCCAGAGAGCCAGGCCCCUGGGGCCACUGCAUGUCCCAGCUGAGGCAAGAGGGCUCUGAGGGAGGCCGCCUUGGCACCCUCGGCCACCACUGGCUGCUGUGCUCUGGGCCUGGCCUGGGCCUCCCACUGUCCCGAGCUGGCCUUCCUCGAGGGUGCAGCGCAGGUUCCGAGGUGCCCCUUCUGCUGGGGCAUCCCCCUGGUGGCAGUGGGGAGGGGACAGGAGUGGGGACUCUGGCUGCCCUGUGUCCCAGGGGAAAGCUCAGAAGCGCUGUCUGCAUGCUGACCCCUCCCACACCCCUCCUGAGGGAGCCUCUCCACCCCAGGCUGCCGGCUGCUCCUGCCCCGAUUGCCUAGAAACUCACUGACCUUACUGCUCCUUUAUCUGUGCCAUCUCCCUCACCCACUGGUCUGCGAGGACAGGGACCCUGGUGGUCUUUCCCACAGGUGUUGAGUGACUCAGUGAGGUGAGCGAGUGGAAGGAGGACUGGCCCUGUGGCCGGGGCUGAGCCGUGUUCUUUCCGUCUGUACAGUGAAGACACGCCCCACUUCUUCAGGUUGUCCAGCAGUCUGGGCCCAUCCCCUCCCGUGUGGAGCCUGGGCCCGGGACCAGCCCCCAGAGCGACACCAUGCACAAGCACGUGCAGCUCAGAGCAGACGGGCACUCACUUCCAGGACGGGUGCUCACGAGGACGCGCUGCCUGAGCCAGCUUUGAGCAGUGCUGACUCCAUUCCUGCCUCUGGAGACCCCAGACCGUGUGGCCCGUUGUCAGAUCCCCCUUAUUGCCCUUGUUCUCAGGUCACAAAAUAGGCCUGGGGCAGGGACGGAGGUGGGCCUUCAAACGCCUUGGCUGGUUUCCACACUCACCAAGACGAAGCUCGGGCACUUGUGGCCUCAGCAAAGCCAUCCCCGGUCCCCAUCUGAGCCCAGCCUCCUUCCUCCCAGCGCCUGCUUUGCCAGUUCCCCCCACCAGCCCCGGGGGCUCCACACACCCCAGGAGCCCUUGGCCGGCCAGGGGAAUACCACAGACAGGUGGUGAGCCACCCAGAGCAGAGCUGGGGACUUGGCUACAGAAGAUCUUCCCCCUGUGGAAGCUGCCCACCCUGGUCCCACCAGGGUUUGGGGUUUACAGCUCAGCUUUUUGGAAAAACCUUAAAAACAACCUCCUGUUUAAUGAGCUCUGACUCCGUGUCGGGCGUGUAGCAGACGUGGCGUUUUAUCAAGUCUCGGCCAAGAGACUGCUUCAGUGGCCUCACCACGGAGAUCAGGAAACCAGGACUCGGGUUAAACAGAUCACCUGAGAGCACCCGGAGAGGGAUUUGAGCUCUGAACUUUACAUGCCGUAAGGUUCCUCCUGAUUUCCAGGCCUGAGAGGUGAGUUUGACAAACUCUCAAAGCCACCUAAACCCACUGGAACACCCCGGCUCUUCCAGCUUAGGAUGGAAGCUUUUGCCCCGAGGGUCCCUCUAGAACUGAGGGCAUCCUGAGGUUGUGACCUGCCUGACUUGCCCACUGCAGUUGGGGGAGGGAGGCACCAAGCCCUUCCCAGCACUGGGCCUGCCCCUGACUGCAGACCCAGCAAGAAUGAGUCAUGACCCUGUCCUGGAGGUGUCCAGCCAAGACCUGGGGUGCCCCAGGGGAAGCGUCUUGAAGGAAAAGGCGUCAGCAGGGUGAAGAAGGAGCGAGAAACGGCCCCUGUGGGAGAGGCACCAGGGCCAGGGGGUCAGGAUGUCCCCUUCCCAAGGCCUGGGAGCUCGUGUGAGCUCAGCAGGGAGUGUGGUCUCGGCAGGUGGGGGUGGUCAGGCAGCGGAGAGUGGAAGGGGGUCGCCAUCUCCAGUCUUGCCCAGUCCUGGCCAAGAGCUCCCAACCCCUUGGACUGAGCCCAGGAAGGGACGUGUGUGCCAGCUUUUCUGUGACUUUGGGAAGGGCUGGCGUCCACUGGCAUAGAAAGAGCCCCUGACCAAGCAGCAGGCCCUGUACUUCGCUCCGGCCAGCCGGGCCACCGCUCAGCCUGGGACUGGCCUGGACACUGCGCUGCGCCUCUGCUGACACUUCCUGAGAGCUACUCGCCUGCAGGCCAAGGCUCCGUGACACCUCCCUCUCCCGGGCAUCUCCCUCCCAGGCCUUCCUCGGAUCCCGGGGCCCAGGCAUCCUGGACAGUUCCUGGACUCAGGCCACAGGGUGGACCUGAGUCUCCUGCUCCAGGGACCCAGUCCUCAAAAUUGAACUUUGUGUUGUACAAAGGUGAAUAUAUUAAUAUAUUAAAACCCUUAAAUUUUUUUUGUACUGGGGAGUGAAUCCAUGGGUGCUCUACUCCUGAGCUGCUUCCACAACCCUUUUUAUUUUUUAUUUUGAGACCAAGUCUCCAAUUUACCCAGGCAUCGAACUUGGCAAUCCUGCCUCAGCCUCCAGUUGCUGGGACUGGACGUGCGCCACUGCACCCAGCUGCAAUUCUCCUUUGAACUAAAAGUUUAUUUUUUUAAUUCUGAUUCAAAAAAAGUAAAACAUUGCCAUUGGCCCCCUAAAAGUAGAGGCACCUGAGGCUCCGCACCCCUGCGCUUGGUCAGGGAGACAGCUCUGUCACAGACCUGCAGGGCCUAAGCCAGUCCUCAGUGGGGUGGCCUGUGGUUCCAGCCUUCCUGAGCCUGCCACCACUGCGUCUAGACCCAGGAAUGGAGUCUGGCAAAGGCUCUAGAACAGCCCAAAAAGACCCGAGAUGAGGGCAGGGCGGGGCCCACACGGGGCCUCCUGACCUCCCAGGUUGGCCCGGGCUGUGCCUUCUCACAAGUGCCCUCCGUCUGUUCUCCAGCACAGAGCACACCAAGCACUGUGUGGCCCCAACCAGGGGCUGCAGUUGGAGGGUGCAGAGAAAGGAGAGAGAGCAACCGGUGAAGGAAGACCCUGCAGCUCCUUCAGAAUGGGCACCAGGGCCAGGCCCGGGGAGGCGCCCUCCAGCUGCCAGGGUCUGGGAAGCUUCCCAGAGCAGCUGGGCUCUGCACCAGGGUGGGGGCACUUGUGAAGGAUAGGGGUUUCCUGGCCUCCUCCUGACCAGGCUGCUACAGAUGGCAGGCCAAAUUUCUCUCUCUCCUAAAACCCAUUAAAAUUGCAGAAAGGGACAGGCGCCUUCUCUCCCUCUCCCUCCCUCUCUUCCUUCUUUCCUUCCCUCUUGGUAUAAUCCCACGAGUAGAGCUGGGGUACAGCUCAAUGGUAAAGCACUUGCCUAGCUUGCAAGAGGGCCUUGGGCUCCUCCCCAGAACUGGAAACAACACAAAACCCCUAGAAUGGAAGGAGGGGGGUGGGUGCGCUGAGCAGAACACCCAUUCUUGUUUUUGUACCAGGGACUGAACAGCCAGGGGCUUUACCACUGAACCACAUCCCCUUUUUUACCACAGUCCUUUUUAUUAUUUAUUUUAAGACAAGUCUUGCCAAGUUGCUGAGGCUGGCCUCAAACUUGUAAUCCUCCUGCCUCAGCCUCCUGAGUCACUGGGAUUAUAGGCACGUGCCACCAUGCCAGACCAUCCACACAAUUUUUGAAGCUGGAAAGUAGAGGUAAAGAGGCAACUGACUUAGGGACACCAGAAAGCUAUAUCCCAAGUGUUCAGGGUAGCAACUGAGCCACUAGUGGGCAGCCAGGCCCAUGUGCUCCUGGAAGGACACUUGCUAGAGAAUCUGAUCUUCCCAGGAACACAUCCUGAAAAUACUGACAUGGGAAAUGCCCAGCAAGUGCCUCCACAUCUCACCUCAGGGAUGACAAGUGUCGGAGCAAUUUGACCUUGGUGAUGUGUAUCUGGAACUGAUAAAUAAUGUGAAUGUUAAAAAGACAGAAGGAACCAGCCAUUACUGUAUGAGCCUCAAUUCUCCUAGGAAAUGAAAACAUGUAUCCAUACAUAACCUGUACAAGAAAGUCCACAGCAGCAUCACCCAUAAUAGCCAAAAUGUAGAAACAAUCCACACAUUCAUCAACAGAUGAAAGGGUAAACACAUUGCAGUAUGUCCAUGCAAUGGAAUAUUGUGCAAAGGAGUGAACGUUUUCACACCUUACAAUGUGAAUGAACUUUAGAAACCUCCUGCUCAGUGCCAGGCGUGGUGGCGCACACCUGUGUUCUCAGCGAUUCAAGGCAGGAGGAUCCCAAGUUGUAGACCAGCCUUAGCAGCUUAGCAAGACUAUCUCAAAAUUUAAAAAGACUGGGGAUCUAGUUCAGUGGUAGAGAACUCCCAGGUUUAAUCCUCAGUACCAACAAACAAAACAAAAACAUGCUCAGUGAGAGAAGCCAGAGGCAAAAGGCCAAGUGUUCUAAGAUUCCUUUUAAAGGAAAUGUCCAAAAGAGGCAAAUCCAUAGAGAUGGGAAACAGCAGCGGUUGCCUGGGCUGGGGCAACAUGUAACCCAUGUGAGCGUUACUGGGGACCUUACGUUCUCUUUGGCCAAAUCUGUAGAAUCUGGCCACGUUCUGCCUGUAGAGAACAUUUCUGCAAGACCGGCCACCCUCUGGGGCUGCGUGGCUCCGUGGUUCAAGGUCACCCCACCAGAUGGUACAGCUUCAGACUUUAAAACUGGAAUCUCUGGACAUAAUCUGAAGAGUGUGAAGAUUUUUUAACUUGGUGGAUCUUUGAGUCUUUAAGAACAAAUUGGCUCUAAUCCCAUUUAAGUCCAUUUAAAUAACCACCUUUAAAAUGCCCUAAAUAAAAAAUAGACUUCCCUUUUGACCCAGCAAUUCCUCUUGGGCUGUACACCCCAAAGAUUUGAAAGCAAAGACUCAAGCAGAUGCUCGUGGUGAUAUUUGCAAGGUAUUGUUUACCAUGGCCAAAAGGUGGGCAUGGACACCAUGCACAAGUGGAUAAGCCAGCUGUGUCUGUCCAAAUGGUGGAACAGCAUGCAGCCUGAGGAGGGGGAGAUUCUGCACACACCACACCUGGAUGAACUGGAGACCCCGCUAAGCGAAAUAAGCCAGUCACAAAAGGGCAGAUAGCAUAUGGCUCUACACAGAUGUGACCAAGAGUUAAGUUCACAGAAAGUAGAUGGAGAGAGAAGAUGGAGCUUUGGAGAUGGUGGAAGUGACCAAUGGAACAUGCUUAAUGCCCCCAAGCUGUACAUUCAAAAGUGGCCAACAUGGUGUCCGUGCCAUGUGCGUUUAACCACGAUCUUCUCAUUCAUGUACGUGUUUAUUCCAGCACUGGGGACUGAACCCAGGGGCCCUUUUCCACUGAGCCACAUCCCCAGUCUUUUUCUUUUUUUUAUUUUGAGGCAGGGUCUUGCUCAGUUGCUGAGACUGGCCUGGAACUUGCCAUCCUCCUGUCCCGGCCUCCCCAGUUGCUGGGAUUGCGGGCGUGCGCCAACUUGCCUGGUUUACCACAAUUGGAAAAAAAAAAAAAAAAAGGAAAAAUCUGCUAC